UGGGGGAUAUUGCACAAUGGGCGAAAGCCUGAUGCAGCGACGCCGCGUGGGGGAUGAAGGCCUUCGGGUUGUAAACUUCUUUUGCUCUGAACAAGGCGCACCAUGGGGUGUGUUGAGUGUAGGGGUUGAUUAGCGCCGGCUAACUACGUGCCAGCAGCCGCGGUAAUACGUAGGGCGCGAGCGUUGUCCGGAAUUAUUGGGCGUAAAGGGCUUGUAGGUGGCUGGUUGCGUCUGUCGUGAAAGCUCAUGGCUUAACUGUGGGUUUGCGGUGGGUACGGGCUGGCUUGAGUGCAGUAGGGGAGGCUGGAAUUCCUGGUGUAGCGGUGGAAUGCGCAGAUAUCAGGAGGAAUACCGGUGGCGAAGGCGGGUCUCUGGGCUGUUACUGACACUAAGGAGCGAAAGCAUGGGGAGCGAACAGG
rnacentral:rRNA from 1 species